rnacentral:rRNA from 1 species
CCGUUUAGGGUUGUAAAGCACUUUCAGUAGUGAGGAAAGGUGUAUAGUUAAUAGCAUUACACUGUGACGUUAGCUACAGAAGAAGCACCGGCAAACUCCGUGCCAGCAGCCGCGGUAAUACGGAGGGUGCGAGCGUUAAUCGGAAUUACUGGGCGUAAAGCGCGCGUAGGCGGUUAUUUAAGUGAGGUGUGAAAUCCCUGGGCUCAACCUAGGAACUGCAUUUCAAACUGGAUAACUUGAGUAUGUCAGAGGGUAUUGGAAUUUCCCCGUGUAGCAGUGAAAUGCGUAGAUAUGGGAAGGAACAUCAGUGGCGAAGGCGAAUACCUGGGAUAAUACUGACGCUGAGGUGCGAAAGCGUGGGGAGCAAACGGGAUUAGAUACCCUGGUAG